rnacentral:rRNA from 1 species
GACGAACGCUGGCGGCGUGCUUAACACAUGCAAGUCGAACGGAAAGGCCCUGCUUUUGUGGGGUGCUCGAGUGGCGAACGGGUGAGUAACACGUGAGUAACCUGCCCUUGACUUUGGGAUAACAUCAGGAAACUGGGGCUAAUACCGGAUAGGAGCUCCUGCUGCAUGGUGGGGGUUGGAAAGUUUCGGCGGUUGGGGAUGGACUCGCGGCUUAUCAGCUUGUUGGUGGGGUAGUGGCUUACCAAGGCUUUGACGGGUAGCCGGCCUGAGAGGGUGGCCGGCCACAAUGGGACUGAGAGACGGCCCAGAAGCCUACGGGAGGCAGCAGUGGAGAAUAUUGCACAAUGGGCGGAAGCCUGAUGCAGCAACGCCGCGUGCGGGAUGACGGCCUUCGGGUUGUAAACCGCUUUCGCCUGUGACGAAGCGUGAGUGACGGUAAUGGGUAAAGAAGCACCGGCUAACUACGUG